rnacentral:lncRNA from 1 species
CUUUUUUCACAUAUUAAGCAAAACUGAAGCAUAGAAUAGGAGCAAACUAUAUAAAACAAGCAAAAUUAAGCUCUGUUACAACUUUAGGUUUAUGAAACCAAAAUCUAGACGAUAAUAUUUAAAAAAAAAAUACUUGCAAUACAACCAAAUAUUAUAUCAGACACAUUGCUACGAACAAAAGCACAAAAAGCUGGUUAACGAAGAAAUCCCAGAAUCGCACACAGCUCAGACAACAACGAGAAUGAGAGAAACUCCCAUCCAGGAUCCGCAUUCAAACAUCACAUUAUGCCUGUAGCAACAUUUAACAAAAACAAAAAAACACGAUUAUAUUAAAAAAUAAUAAUACUAAUAAUAAUAAUAAGAGAAUAUAUUUUUAAAACGAUGCAAGAUCACAUGCCUUGUUAGCAAUGUUGUUAGAGAGCCAAUCGAGACCCUCGUAAAGUCCUUCACCGGAAGUUGCACAGGUGCUCUGGAUGUACCUGUGGUAAAGCAACAUAAGGUUAAUACUAUAAUGAUAUUGGAUGACCACUAGUCUGAUGGUCAAUCAGACUGGUGGAUAGUCAUCCCAUUAUCAGAUGACUAGUGCAAAUUUAUUGAUGCACCGAUCAUCUGAUAUAUGGUUGAUGCACCGGUCAUCUGAUCAUAUCAGAUGACUAGUGCACUACGUAUGAUAUAUCACACCAGUCUGAUUGUCAGACUGUUGGAUAGUCAUCCAACUAUCAGAUGAUUAGUGCAACUUUAUGCUUGCACUAGUCAUCUGAUAUAUGGAUGGUGCACCGGUCAUCUAAUAUGAUAUGACAGAUGACUGAUGACCGGUGCACUGUGUAUAAUAUAUCAUGGAGACGAGAUUUUACCAGUGGCGCUGUCGGAGGGAAUGGAGGCCGAGCUUAUCGGUGAUUUCAGCAGCAUUCAUUGCAUUUGGAAGAUCUUGUUUGUUAGCAAAUACAAGCAACACUGCAUCUCGAAGCUCAUCCUGUAUCAAUAAAUAAAUUUAGUCUUAUGAUUAUUAUAUAACUUCUUAUAUAUAGUAGAUUUGUUUAUUUAGUUAUUUAUUUAAAAUUGAUUCGCAAAAUAAAAAUAAAGAUAAAUAAAUUGUUGUUUUUGCCUGUCAGAAUGGAAUGAUUCAUUCUUUAGCCAUGGGGUGGUUUUUUCAUUGCAUCAUGAAAUGGAAUAAGAGAUUGUAAUAUAAAUCAUAUAAUCAUUUUUUAUUAAUGUACUUUUCAAUUGCACAUAUAUCUAUUUAGAAAUUUUCAUUAUUUCAAUCAAACUACAAUUUUAUUUUUGAAUUCAAGCAAACAAACAGUAUGAGAAGAAGUAAUGUUUAAAAAAAAAUAAUUAACAAAAAAGUGCAAAAUUACCUCAUUCAACAUCCUAUGCAACUCAUCUCUUGCCUCAACAACUCUAUCUCUGUCAUUGCUAUCAACCACAAAGAUAAGCCCCUGAGUGUUCUGGAAGUAAUGCCUCCAUAGUGGACGAAUCUGUACAUAAACACAACAUUCACUGAUAAACACACACACACACAUAGAAAGAGAGAAUAAAUACCAACUAAAGAUCAAAAACCAAAAAUGUCCUCUACCUUGUCUUGACCCCCAACAUCCCACA